rnacentral:rRNA from 1 species
GACGAACGCUGGCGGCGUGCUUAACACAUGCAAGUCGAACGGUGAAGCCCUUCGGGGUGGAUCAGUGGCGAACGGGUGAGUAACACGUGAGCAACCUGCCCCUGGCUCUGGGACAACCACUGGAAACGGUGGCUAAUACCCGAUAAGACCCGCCUCGGCAUCGAGGGUGGGUUGAAAGUUUUUCGGCUGGGGAUGGGCUCGCGGCCUAUCAGCUUGUUGGGGAGGUGAAGGCUCACCAAGUCGAAGACGGGUAGCCGGCCUGAGAGGGCGACCGGCCACACUGGGACUGAGACACGGCCCAGACUCCUACGGGAGGCAGCAGUGGGGAAUAUUGCACAAUGGGCGAAAGCCUGAUGCAGCGACGCCGCGUGAGGGAUGACGGCCUUCGGGUUGUAAACCUCUUUCAGCUCCGAAGAAGCGAAAGUGACGGUAGGAGCAGAAGAAGCACCGGCUAACUACGUG